rnacentral:ncRNA from 1 species
AUUUUUUACAUUCACAGAAACCAAGAUGUUGCACAAAUGUCUCUUUAUUUAAAAAAAAUAAAUAAAAUGGAAUAAAUUAGAUUGGAAAUGCUGUUGAAAAUAUAUAAAAAAGAUAGCUAAAGAUCUGACUAUUAUACACUAAGGAAACACUAUAUAUUUUUCCUUAAUACAAAAAUUAAAAGCAAACUGAAUAAUUAGCUAAAUGUACAAAAGCAGAGCGCCCGAAUUUGAAAUUUAGAACACUGAUUUAGGCGACACUAAUACUGAUAAACGAUAGUACACUGAUAAAAGCGACGUAUAUUUCAACUGUCUGUCUGAUCAACUGUCGAAGUUGGUUACGCGCCUACCACUACUAUCGUAACGGGUAACUGGAAAUCAGGUAUCCAGACAAGUUCCAGACAGGGAGCCUGAGAAAGAGCUAGCACAUCCGAGGAAAGUAGGUACGCCCGCAAAUUACCCGCUUCCAGAAUGGGGAGACAGUGACGAAAAAUAACAAUGCGGUAUUCUUUUGAGGUCCCUUAACUGGAAGUAGAACACUCUAAAUCCUUUGAAUAGGAUUAGUUACUGAACAAAUCUGCUACCAGCAGCUGCGGUAUUUCCAGCUCCAACAGCGUAU